GAGUCAAGUUUGACUGUUGCUGGCCUUUGGCAUGUUGCACGUCUAACACUCCUUUUCGUUGAUUCUCCAUUCUUGCUCUUUCUCCUUUAACUACACCUGUGCACCUACUGUAGGCCCUCGAAAGAGGGACCUAUGUUUUGCAUCUACUCUAUGUCUAUAGAAUGUAUUGAAGGUCGUCGUUGAUUUGGCGGUCGAAUAUAAAUGUUAUACAACUUUCAGCAACGGAUCUCUUGGCUCUCGCAUCGAUGAAGAACGCAGCGAAUUGCGAUAAGUAAUGUGAAUUGCAGAUUUUCAGUGAAUCAUCGAAUCUUUGAACGCACCUUGCGCUCCUUGGUAUUCUGAGGAGCAUGUCUGUUUGAGUGUCAUUGAAUUCCUCAAACCAUGUUUUGAUUGAUCUUCAAAGCAUUGGGUUUGGAACAUUGGGGGUUUGCUGGCGGCACAAAGAGUAGUCGGCUCUCCUGAAAUGCAUUAGCAGGGAAAAAGGGAGUAGGCACCAUGCAAGUCUUUCUUUGACGUGCACGGCGUUGGACGUGAUAAUGAUCGUCAUCGCUGGAGCGUCAGACUUGAUGAAUGGGAGUCUC
rnacentral:rRNA from 1 species